AGUGAACGCUGGCGGUAGGCCUAACACAUGCAAGUCGAACGGCAGCACAGUAAGAGCUCGCUCUUACGGGUGGCGACUGGCGGACGGGUGAGGAAUACAUAGGAAUCUACUUUUUCGUGGGGGAUAACGUAGGGAAACUUACGCUAAUACCGCAUACGACCUACGGGUGAAAGCAGGGGAUCUUCGGACCUUUCGCGAUUGAAUGAGCCGAUGUCGGAUUAGCUAGUUGGCGGGGUAAAGGCCCACCAAGGCGACGAUCCGUAGCUGGUCUGAGAGGAUGAUCAGCCACACUGGAACUGAGACACGGUCCAGACUCCUACGGGAGGCAGCAGUGGGGAAUAUUGGACAAUGGGCGCAAGCCUGAUCCAGCCAUACCGCGUGGGUGAAGAAGGCCUUCGGGUUGUAAAGCCCUUUUGUUGGGAAAGAAAAGCAGCAGGUUAAUACCCCGCUGUUCUGACGGUACCCAAAGAAUAAGCACCGGCUAACUUCGUG
rnacentral:rRNA from 1 species